CGGCGUAAAGCGUGUUUAAGAUAACCCAACAAAUAAAGUUAAACCAAGACUAAGCCGUAAAAAGCUACAGUCAAAAUAAAAUACACGACUAAAGUGACUUUAACAACUCCGAACACACGAUAGCUAAGACCCAAACUGGGAUUAGAUACCCCACUAUGCCUAGCCCUAAACCCAAACAUUUAAUCAACUAAAAUGUUCGCCGGAGCACUACUAGCAACAGCCUAAAACUCAAAGGACUUGGCGGUGCUUCACACCCUCCUAGAGGAACCUGUCCUAUAAUCGACAAACCCCGAUAAACCUCACCACCCCUAGCCAACACAGCCUAUAUACCGCCAUCCCCAGCAAACCUUGAAAAGAACCACAGUAAGCGCAACUAUCAACCACAAGCACGUUAGGUCAAGGUGUAGCCCAUGAGGUGGAAAGAGAUGGGUUACAUUUUCUUACAAAAGAAAAAUCAACGAAAGUUUCCAUGAAACCCUAGAAACCAAAGGAGGAUUUAGAAGUAAAUUAAGAAUAGAGAGCUUGAU
rnacentral:rRNA from 1 species